GAGUUUGAUCGUGGCUCAGAUUGAACGCUGGCGGCAUGCCUUACACAUGCAAGUCGAACGGCAGCAUGAUCUAGCUUGCUAGAUUGAUGGCGAGUGGCGAACGGGCGAGUAAUACAUCGGAACGUGCCCUGUAGUGGGGGAUAACUAGUCGAAAGAUUAGCUAAUACCGCAUACGACCUGAGGGUGAAAGUGGGGGACCGCAAGGCCUCAUGCUAUAGGAGCGGCCGAUGUCUGAUUAGCUAGUUGGUGGGGUAAAGGCCCACCAAGGCGACGAUCAGUAGCUGGUCUGAGAGGACGAUCAGCCACACUGGGACUGAGACACGGCCCAGACUCCUACGGGAGGCAGCAGUGGGGAAUUUUGGACAAUGGGCGAAAGCCUGAUCCAGCAAUGCCGCGUGUGUGAAGAAGGCCUCGGUGUAAG
rnacentral:rRNA from 1 species